AACAGCCCUGGUUUAAUACAGGAGCUGCUGCUGCUCUGAAAACCUUUAUGAUUCAGUGCUGAUUUUGAUGAAGGUGAAUAGUACUGUUCUGAUCUCCUCUAACAGGAAGCAUCCUCUCUGAAGAUCAGCAUUCAGGAUAUGAGGAUGUGGAUGAGGAGCUUCUCUCAGAAAAGUCUUUGAUUGGAGUAAAGACAGAAUAUUAUGAUGAUGUCAUCACCAGUGAUCUGAUAAGUGAAGCAGAAAAGGAGGACACAGCAGAGAGCUAUGAUGAUGUCAUCACAGGUGAUCUAAAGAGUGUGUUAUUAAUGAAUCUCCUCACAUUAAAUAAUCCAGUGUUUAAUGUUUAUCUUUUAUAGUUAGAUUACAUUUUUGUUAAAUAAAUCUUAAUUUAACACAAACA
rnacentral:lncRNA from 1 species